rnacentral:tRNA from 1 species
UGGCUCAGUUAGUAGAGCAUGACACUUGCAACGCUAGGGUUGUGGGUUUGACUCCCAC